UUAAUAAAACUCCCCAAAACCAUAAAACAAGAACCAUAAAUCGGUGGGGCUACUACCUUCAUGGUUAGUAAAAGGCAGUUUAAGGAGGCGAUCAAAGGCGAAAGGUGCAGGGAGCGGAGCGAGGGGACCUCCUCAUGUCUCCAUCACGGCCCCACACUCGCGCUCCUGCCCGGCGCCGAAAGGGACGUGAUUGGCGGCGGUGCGGAGGAGGAGGAAAGACGGCGACGCACACAAGAACAGGCGAUCUAUUGGCUGCAUCUGCAUGGUACCAAGAGGGAGGCUGAGGGAUUGCCAUCCUGAUGUAGUAUUUCUCUGUAUAGGCGGCCAGGAUACCGCUGUCCCCUCCUCCCCUUACCUGGAUAUUGUACGUCGGCAAAAAUGGGCUUCGUGACUAGAGUGAAGUAUGUCAGUGAUGUUUGGAUUCUAACGCUUGGCAGUGGAGUAUGAUUCAAAGGCAGGUGGUAUUAUCCCAGAACUUGUACCAGAACCGCUUCCUCGGGUUGGCGGCCAUGGCCUCCCCCUCGCGGAGCUCCCACGGUCGCCGUCGCUGCAAGGACCCGGCGCGGCACAGCUACAAUCCCGAGCAGUUCCAGCAGAUGGCGCUGCCGGAUGGCGGCCCCGAGGCGACCCCCGCACAGCGAUCCACCAGCGAUACGGACCUCCUCACCUGCCACAGCCGCUCCACACUAACUGUCAGCAGCUCCUUCUAUGCCAUCGGUCAGUCGCAGGACAUCGUGCUCUGGUGGGACAUCAAGGAGGAGGUGGAUGCCGGGGACUGGAUCGGCAUGUACCUCAUCGACGAGGUCCUGUCCGAGAACUUCCUUGACUACAAGAACCGCGGCGUGAACGGCUCCCACAAGGGCCAGAUCGUGUGGAAGAUCGAAGCCAGCUCAUACUUUGUGGAGUCGGAGACAAAGGUCUGCUUCAAGUACUACCACGGCCUGAGUGGGGCGCUGCGAGCCACCACGUCCUGUGUCACCGUGAAGAACCCAUCCGCACCGGUGUUCAAGCCCAUCGUCGGUGAGGACGUUACGCAGAGCCAGGGCAGCCGCCGCCUGAUCAGCUUCUCCCUGUCCGACUUCCAGGCGGUUGGGCUGAAGAAGGGCAUGUUCUUUAACCCAGACCCUUACCUAAAGAUCGCCAUCCACCCGGGCAAGCACAGCAUCUUCCCCGCCCUGCCCCACCACGGCCAGGAGAAGCGCUCCAGCAUCGUCUGCAACACCAUCAACCCCGUGUGGCAGAGGGAGCGCUUCAGCUUCGUGUCCCUGCCCACAGACGUGCUGGAGAUCGAGGUGAAGGACAAGUUCGCCAAGAGCCGGCCUAUCAUCAAGCGCUUCCUGGGCAGGCUGUCCAUGCCGGUGCAGAGGCUACUGGAGAAGCACGCCAUCGGAGACCGCGUCGUCAGCUACACCCUGGGCCGCAGGAUGCCGACGGAGCACGUCAGCGGCCAGCUGCAGUUCCGCUUUGAGAUAACAUCCUCCAUCCAUCCAGAUGACGAGGACACAUCCCUGAGUACGGAAGCAGACUGCGCCCCCCCCACUUCUGCAGCUGGACAACAGGGGGCAGCAGCGAUGCAGGUAGUCCAGGAAUCCCAGGACCAGGAUGCCGUGAGCUUGGGGCCCGAGGCCCCUGAGCUGCCUGCAGACAGGGCCUCUUUGGGGGGCGAGGCUGGCAACGUGGCGACUGGGGCCCCCGAAGUACAAACUUCUGGUGACCACCCGGAGCCAGAGGAGGCACCAGGGAGGGCGGCUGAUGGGGUAGGUGCCCCCCCCACAGAGGUCCCACCUGAGAGCAGUGAGGCCCCGGAGGCAAAUAGCCAAGUCCCUGCUGAUCAGCUGGGGGCCACUCCUAAGGAGGCUGGAAUCCAGGAAGGGGCCGAGGGGCCUGCUGACAUCCCCCCUGAUAGUUCCUGGGACAUGGUGGAUGGAGAAAUGGUGGCAGAGCUCCCCCCGCAGGCUGAGGAGGGGGACGGGGAGGGAGAGGGAGCUGGCACCCUUCCGCGCAUGAGGAGCGUCCCCCGGCGCAAGGGCAGACCGUGUUCACUGCCGGUGUCCGAGCUGGAGACAGUGAUCGCGUCAGCCUGCAGUGAGCCGGAGACGCCCAGGAGCCACUACAUCCGCAUCCACCACCUCCUGCACAGCCUGCCCUCUGCCCAGAGUGAUGGCAAGGCCUCCCCUGAGCUGGGCAUCCCGGAGCCCCCGCUGGGGGAGGCGGCGGGACCUGGGGAUGGGGCUGGGCCUGAGGAUGGGGAGGGGGCUGGGGAUGAGGCAGGAGCAGAGGAUGGGGAAGGGCCAGAGGAUAAUGCACCCGAUUCUGAGCCCCAGGAAGCGACUCUGGAUGGCACAGAGGCCAUGGAUGACUCAGAAUCCACUGAUACCCUGCAGCCCUGCCCCAGGAGGACGCUGCCCCGCAGUCUGUCCAUUGAGCACCUCUCCGACCUGAACCAGCUGCUGGAGAGAGCGGGGCCAUGCCAUGGCAGCGAGGGCGAGGCGGGAGGCCCCAGGGGCCUGGGGGAUGAGUGCGACCUGUGUGACGCUUCCUGCUAUAGCACCUCCUGUUACAGCACCUCCUGCUACAGCACCUCCUGCUACAGCAACUCGGGCUACGAGGGCCGGAGGCGGCUCUGCAGCCACACUCGCUUCUCUUCAGUGGAUAGCGCUCACCUGUCGGGGAGCACUGUCUUUUCGUCACAGGAGGAGGAUGAGGAGGAGGAAGAGGAGGAGAACAGUGCCUUCGAGUCAGCGGCAGACUCCACGCUAAGUCCCGAGACACGGGAGUCCGGCAACGGCCCAGUGCAGUGGCAGGGGGAGAGCUCACAGAACACCAACGGGAGCAUGGUGUUGCCGGAGGCAGGGCCCAGUGGGCGGGGCCGAGGCGAUUUGCCAUGCAGUCACCCACCAGUCCGCCAGCUCCCAACUUUGCGACCCGAUCCCCAUCAUUAUCCAACUAUAGACGAGCCAUUGCCACCAAACUGGGAGGCGCGUAUCGACAGCCAUGGUCGCGUGUUUUACGUGGACCAUGUCAACCGCACCACCACCUGGCAGAGGCCCACGGCGGCUGCCAUGGCCGAGGGUCUGCACCGCUCCGGCUCCAUGCAGCAGAUGGAGCAGCUGAACCGCAGGUACCAGAACAUCCAGAGGACCAUCGCCACGGAGAGUACUGAGGAGGAGGCAGGAAGUCGGCGAGGAGAGCGGGCAGCCCUCGAGACUGACGGCUCAGCGCUGAGCGGCGAAUUGAGAAGAGAUGGUCCUUCGUCCCCCAUUAACAGCCAGAAGAUCACAGUGCUGCUGCAGUGUCCUGCCGUCAAGUUCAUCAGCCACCCGGAGUUCUUUACUGUCCUCCACGCCAACUAUGCCGCCUACCGCUUGUUCACCAGCAGCACCUGCCUGAAGCACAUGAUCCUGAAGAUCCGACGGGACGCACGCAGCUUUGAGCGCUACCAGCACAACCGUGACCUGGUGGCCUUCCUCAACAUGUUCGCCGACCCGCAGCUGGAGAUGCCGCGUGGCUGGGAGAUCAAGAGCGACCAGCAGGGCAAGUCGUUUUUUGUGGACCAUAACAGCCGUGCGACAACCUUCAUAGACCCUCGUAUCCCGCUGCAGAACGGCCGUCUGCCCAACCAUCUGACGCACAGGCAGCACCUGCAGCGACUGCGCAGCUACAGCGCAGGGGAGGCAUCAGAGGUGUCCCGGAGCCGCGGCGCCUCCCUGCUGGCCAGGCCUGGCAACAGCCUUGUGGCAGCCAUACGGACCCAGCACCAGCAGGAUGCCGCUGUUCCUGUCGCCUACAAUGAUAAGAUCGUGGCAUUUCUGCGGCAGCCCAACAUCCUGGAGAUGCUUCAAGAGCGGCAGACCAGCCUGGCCAGGAACCACACACUGAGGGAGAAGAUCCACUACAUUAGAACAGAAGGCACGCAUGGCCUGGAGAAGCUGUCAUGUGACGCAGACCUGGUCAUACUGCUGAGCCUGUUUGAGGAGGAGAUCAUGUCCUACGUUCCACUGCACCCCUUUCACCCCGGGUUUGGCUUUUCACCACGAUGCUCGCCUGGUUCAUCACCGCAAAACUCCCCGGGGCUGCAGAGGGCCAGGGCUCCAGCUCCUUACCGCAGAGACUUUGAGGCCAAGCUCCGGAACUUCUACAGGAAGCUGGAGGCAAAGGGUUAUGGCCAGGGGCCUGGAAAAAUCAAGCUUAUCAUCAGACGAGAUCACUUACUAGAGGGCACCUUCAACCAGGUGAUGGCCUACUCUCGUAAGGAGCUCCAGAGGAACAAGCUCUACAUCACAUUUGUUGGCGAGGAAGGUCUUGACUACAGCGGUCCAUCGCGGGAGUUCUUCUUCCUGCUGUCCCAGGAGCUGUUCAACCCUUACUAUGGCCUGUUUGAGUACUCUGCUAAUGACACGUACACAGUCCAGAUCAGCCCCAUGUCGGCCUUCGUGGAGAACCAUCUGGAAUGGUUCCGCUUCAGCGGCCGCAUUCUGGGCCUGGCGCUGAUCCAUCAGUAUCUGCUGGAUGCUUUCUUCACCCGCCCCUUCUACAAAUCCCUGCUCAGAUUAUCAACAGAUCUAAGUGACCUAGAGUAUCUGGAUGAGGAGUUCCACCAGAGUUUACACUGGAUGAAGGACAACGACAUCACAGACAUUCUGGACCUGACCUUCACUGUGAAUGAGGAGGUCUUUGGUCAGGUUACAGAGCGGGAGCUAAAAUCAGGCGGCGCCAACCUGCAAGUGACGGAGAAGAAUAAGAAGGAGUACAUCGAGCGCAUGGUGAAGUGGCGGGUGGAGCGUGGCGUGGUGCAGCAGACCGAGGCUCUGGUUCGGGGCUUCUACGAGGUGGUGGACUCCCGCCUUGUAUCUGUGUUCGAUGCCAGAGAGCUAGAGCUGGUCAUUGCUGGGACGGCGGAGAUUGACCUCAAUGACUGGAGGAACAACACAGAGUACAGAGGAGGUUACCACGACGGGCACAUCGUGGUGCGCUGGUUCUGGGGUGCAGUCGAGCGCUUCAACAAUGAGCAACGGCUGCGGCUGCUGCAGUUUGUGACAGGCACGUCCAGCGUGCCGUAUGAGGGCUUCGGCGCUCUUCGUGGCAGCAACGGCCUGCGGCGCUUCUGCAUCGAGAAGUGGGGCAAGAUUACCUCCCUGCCCAGGGCCCACACCUGCUUCAACCGGCUGGACCUGCCACCCUACCCGUCCUGCACCAUGCUGUACGAGAAGCUGCUGAUCGCCGUGGAGGAAACCAGCACCUUCGGCCUGGAGUGAGCAAGCUGCGGAGCCUGCAGUCUGGAGCGAGGCAGGCCGUGAAUCCUGCAACCUGGAGCGAGGCAGGCCAUGAAUCCUGCAGCCUGGUGUGAGGCAGGCCGCAUAGCCUGCAAUCUGGAGUGAGGCAGGCCACGGAGCCCGCAUCUGUGGAGCCUGCAGCCUGAAGCCGGCAAGCAGACUUGGCUCUUUUCUGGAGAAUCAAGCUUUUUUUUCCAGUUUAUAUUUUUGUUUGUUUUUUUUUUAUUUACAGUCUGUGCACAUGCAUGUGUGACUCCCUGGCUGUGCUGUCCUCUCGCGGGGGCUGACACAAACCCAGAAGUAUGCAAUAGCUGACAACCUACAGCACUCAGCGCCUUCGCCUCCAUCCCUCUGACUCUGUCGCACCUAAUUACCCAUAAUGCCUUGGGUCCGCCUUCCCUGCAUCCUCUGGAGCAAGGCUGCCACUAUGCACCGAGACAUGGUUCACCUGUGCCCACAACAUUGUAUGAUGUCAGUACAGGAAGUUGGAAGGCAUCUCCCAGAAUCCCGUUCAGCAUCCCACAUGACCUUGAACGGUGACCGCCAGCUAUCAAACAGUGGAUACGAGCCAAACUGAGGCUGUUUUUGUGUUUAUGUUUCAGGCUUGAUUUACCUCAAUCUGGAGGAAGUAGAGUGAUGGAAAGGCAGCAUCUUUACAGCUCUAUUAUAGCUUCUGUGGCUCAAACUCAGACUCAAAUUGAGCGACUGUAGAAAGCCCCCAGUCCCUGAUUAUAAAACUACUAAAUAACUGUCUUUAACAUCAAAAAAAUGUAAAUUAUAACCAGACGCUGGUAUCCCUGCAUAGAGAGCUGGAGGCGUAUCAUGAAAUGUGGGGUAAGCGAGGUGACCAGGCCAGAGGGACGAUGAGGGUUUAUACAUACAGAAAGGCAGUCACCACCACGACAAACCUUCCCCAUUUGGAGAACUGGAGGUGUGGUCUGUAACGGGGGUAAGCGAGGCGGCCAGGCCAGAGGGACGAUGAGGGUUUAUACGUACAGAAAGGCAGUCACCACCAUGGCAAACCUUCUCUGUUUGGAGAGCUGGAGGUGUGGUCUGUAACGGGGGGUAAGCGAGGCGGCCAGGCCAGAGGGACGAUGAGGGUUUAUACGUACAGAAAGGCAGUCACCACCACGACAAACUUUCCCUGUUUGGAGAGCUGGAGGUGUGGUCUGUAACGGGGGUAAGCGAGGUGGUCAGGCCAGAGGGACGAUGAGGGUUUAUACGUACAGAAAGGCAGUCACCGCCACGGGAAACGUUCCUCCACGUCCUGUGGCUUCAUCACGUCAUGAUGGUCAUUGGUGGGCACUGGUGGCUUUAUGGUUUGUGAAGCACACUUGUAAUCGAAUGAUUGCAGGUUCAAAUCACUGACCAGCAAAUCACCACUGAGGUACCCUGAGCAAGGUGCCGCCCCCAAGCACUGCUCCCUGGGUGCUGAAUUAGCUGCCCCCUGCUAUGUCAUAUUGUCACAUAUGGGUUAAAUGCAGAGGACACAUUUCGUUGUUGUGUGCUGUGGUGUGUCAACAAUGACAAUCACUAAAUUCUAAUUCUUGAAUGUUCUGUCUGUCUGCAGUGACCCAUCAUUGUCCUAUUAUAAAGGAGCUGGAUUUAGCGGGGGCUGCAUUAAGGAGGUGGUGGAUGAUCUGAUUAUGAAGACGUCCUCCAGCUGAACGUGUCAUUAAAGUGACAUGCUUCUCAAACAGCAUUUUUUCCCACUGAUCCCUAAGUCAGAUCCGUUAGUAAUGUUUUACCGGGAAAUUAAGCCAGGAAACUGCAUGUAAAUUGCAUUGUGUCACGAAACGUAUUUAAUUCAACACUUGUGAAAAGUUUAAUUAAUCGUAAGAUUUUUUGUUGGUGUGUGUAAAGCAUUAUGGGUGGUGGGGGGGUUCUCUUCUUCUGGUUCUGUUCGAUGGCAGGGUGUGCAGUGCCCCUUAAUGGAUGGAUGGAUGGAUGGAGCACUUUACACCGUCCGUCAGCCCUGCCCCGGGGCCCUGUGCAUUUGGGCUGCUUCCCCCAGCAGAUCUCUGUCUGUGCCCUUCAGAGUCUUCGUCACAGACCCGUAUUCCAGCUACGAGCUGCUACAGGCCGACAGUCACGCCCCCUGUGCUGUUUGGGUCUCUGAUCAUGACACAGGCUGAUUUACACCAUCAUUUUCUCUGACUGGUAACGGAAACAAUGGCCUGCAUUGUGUGUCAGUUUAUGUUUGGAGUUUGGAAAAAGCAGGUCCUUAAAAGCUGGCAUAUAUUGGUCUUUUCAGUGGUUCUUUUUAUUUAGACUAGAUCAGAUUAUCAGCUAUAUUGAUACUGGGGAACUUCUUGUGCAUAAAGCAGCAGGGUCCACAUCACACAGACAGAACAUUCAUUUAGUGCAGCACAGACCUGGUGCAGUGAUGGUGCAGUGUCACGUUCCGGCAAAGUCUGCAUCAGGGGCUCGCAGGGUCAUUUCGCCUUUUACUCUUCUUACCAACCCUCUGCCUGCCCUUCACCCUUCAUUUUACAGCUGACCCCAAACAAAACGUCAUUUACAUCAUCUGUGUUAACUGAAGAUUAUAGCCAUGACUGCAGGUUCUGUGUGCCGCGAUCCAGAUGUGAAGACUGAUAUUGCUAUGUCUCUUAAUGUAGCUGCCCAAGAACAGAGGUUUGUUAGGGGUGUCCAUGGGAUCCUUGCAGGUGUGAAUCCAUAAGCCUUUUGCUAUAUUUAUCUCCUUAUAUAUGUAUAUGAAGGGGCUGUUAAUCUUGGCUCAGUUUGCCGUUGGUCAUCAAUAAUGUUCACAGUGAAAAGUCCACUGGAGGGCAACAAUCAUCUAAUUUUAUUAAGAUACAUUUAUAGCUGAUAGGAAUCAUGUAAAAAGGAUAAUAUGCAAUAGGCAUUUAUAAUUACAAUUGUAUUUAUUGAUUUGGUUUAUGCUUGAUUUUAUAUUAAAAGUAUUUAUUUAUUUGUGUAUUAAUUUGUAACUGAUAUGUAAAUUGGAUCCAUGCAAACAAAUCCACUGAGAUUAAAAUUUAAGAAUCUGAAUGGCUGUUGCUGGAUGGGUUGUGCUGGCUUUGAAACAGUCAUAUAAGCGGUUGAUCAUGAUAACUGUGAUCACUGUAUAAGUGGAUGAUCACAAUAACUGUGAUCACUGUAUAAGCGGAUGAUCACUAUAACCAUGAUCGCUGUAUAAGUUAAUGCAUUAACAAAAGCAUAAAGAGGUCCCCUUUUAAAUAAUGUUACUGCCAUCAUUGUUCACAAGUUCACACUUAAUCAGAACUAGCUUUAUGAAAGAUAUUUUUUCCCAAUACGAGUUCUCGCUUUGUUUGUAAGCUCUCCUCGAUAUGGGCAUUUCUCUCAGCCACAUUCUUUCCACGUACUUUCUAUGCAUAUUAAUUAUCACUAACAAAAAAUAAAAUAAAUGAGAACUACAGGA